rnacentral:lncRNA from 1 species
UUUUCUGUCAGCUGUAUAUGUUCCAACGUACUGCGUCAUCCCGUUUAAUCCAGAUAUCCGAGCAUUGGAGAGUCCAGAACGAAUUCAUACACCCGUUCUAAUAAUUGUGUUUACUCUUUUUUUAUCUUCAUAUUCAUUGAGGAAUUUCUCGAGGUGAAAACAGAAGAAUAACCGUCGAAACGAAACGUAAACAGUCGAGCACCGAGCAUUCGAUACCUCUACGAGAUAUACGCAGAGAGAUCUCCACUCCCCUUCCGUCCUUCAACGAGUAAUGAUCUAACGAACGUGACGUAUUAAACUAUUU